UUUCUUCUUGUUUUCCCACUCUCUUAUCUUCAGUGCGUCCAAUUCUCGAAAAUGGAAUGGCUAUUUUCCCCUCUUCUUUUGAUGAAAAAUCUGUAAAUUCAAUAUUAGUUUUUGUGAUUUGUCGCUGUUCAGUGCGUCAUGUCGACUUCCUUCUCCAAAAUAUACAAACAUACAUACAUGCCCCCCCUUAUUCAUUAGCAAAUGGUACCAAUUAUUUUUCUCCUCUCCAUUUCCAUUUUUAGGGAUUCAGUUCCACUGCUUUGUUGAGUCAAUUUUCUGAUUUCUGACUUGUGAAUUCCUUGUACGAUUCUUGGUAUAUGAUUUUUAUUUUAUUGCGCGUAGAAAUUUGAGGUUGUUGGAAUUUCUACUUGGUGUUGUUUUUUACUCUUCUUUUGAUGAAAAAUGUGUUAAUUUAAUAAUAGAUUUGGUGAUUUGUUACUGAAAUUUUACCCGUAUGUCAAUAAAUUUGAUCUGUUUCACUCUUGCAUGCUCGAAAACAGCAAAUAGACAGUCGCGGCUGGUGAAUGCCAAUCCAAAUUUUUCUAGCACUGAAACCAUUUUAGUGAGAAAGACCUUCCAUCAUUGUCGUUCUGAUGGGUUAAAUUGCCUUUGCUUCAUCAACUAAUUAAUUCUUUGUUUUAGUUUUUUGAAUGUUAUAUUAUGUGCGUAACAAAUAUUUGGAACAGAAAAUGUCCACAAACAAAGAUAUUGCGGCGCGUAAAGCUCAAGAGAUUAAGGAACAACGAUGAGCUGAUAGAAAUUUGAGACGCCGCACCAGAUAUGCACAAAUGUCACAACAUCCUUUUUGUCACAAUUGUGAGCUAAAAGAGCUGAAUUAAAAAAGCAAAGACUUAGUUAUCAUUCAACUAAUACAUUAUCCUCGACGGAAGUUGCUACUCAAACUCAAAGACAACCUGGUCUUAUAAUUGCUGAUUCUCCGUUAACUUCUGAAGAAGGUAAUGCUUCUCGAGCUACAAAUGUGCCAAAUACUGUCGAUAAAGAGAAUAAUAUGAUUAGUUGCCUCUCCGUCUUUGAAGUUGGAUCAACAUCAGGUAGCGGUCCGUCUUGCAUUAAUGCAACAAAUUUACCAACUGCAACAGCUACUGCAAAUAGAUCAAAUACUGUCGAUAAAGAGAAUAAUAUGAUUAGUUGCGUCUCCAUCUUUGAAGUUGUUGUUGCAAUAUUAGGAUCAACAUCAGGUAGCGAUCCGUCCAGCAUUAAUGCAACAAAUUUACCAACCCCAACGGCUACUGCAAAUAGAGGUACAUCCACAUAAGCCUGUUGAAGUUGAGAAUAAUGAUAGACGUGGUAAUGAUGGUGAUGGUGAUUCUGAUGAUUUCGUUGUUGUUAGUGAAAAGGAUCAGAUCUCCUGUAAGAUGCCAAACAACAUCCCAGUAACAGCUAUUUUCCCCUGAAAGAUGUGGAAGACAAUCAGUUGGGAAUCUUUGACAGACCUCUUCCUUGCUUUGGUUGUCGAAUAGGAUGGUUUUCGUGAGUUUCGCAUUCUUGCUCCUCUUGUCAUUCUCUGUACUUUGGGAAUUACUACCAUAAACAUCCGAGGGAGCGGGCAGGGCUAGCUGCCAAUGCAAUAGCUAUAUGAGAAGAGGCAUUCAAAUAUUCCAGCUCCAUGUUAUUAUUGGACAGUGCAGGCCUUUAUCCAUUCAAGGUGCUUCCAGCCGGUUCUUCUGCAGUCUGCCAUCAGGUAGAUGCAGGAAAAUUGGACAUUGAAAUGUAGGCCAUGCUAAAGGAACAGUUGAUAAGGUCUUCUCUUUGAUCAAGGUCAACAAAACAUGGCGAUAUCUACUAGAAAUUCUGAGAGUUUUGAAGCAUGAACUUGAAAAUCUUAAUCCCGGCGAACCCACUUUUUGUGGCCAACAUGUGAAUUCUGCCUGAGAUUGGCUAUGGAAAGCUAAAGAUUUCACAGUAGAAGGUUACAACAUCAUAUGAUCGAACUAAUUUUGAAGCUGCUUAUCACUUGGCUCAACUUGCUUAUCCCUUAUACAGGGCAUCUGAAGACUCGAUAUAUGCAGUGGCAUAUACUGUUUUGAUUCUUGCAUUUGGUUUUGUGAACUUCUCAACAAAUAUAUGAGAAGAAGACUGUAUAUAUUAUAAACAAUCUUAUCUUAAGAAUUGAAGAUCCUGAAUGAUCCUUAGUUCUUUAUCUUAUAUUUGGAAGUUUAGUA